GGAUGUCACUGAUUUUAUCAGUCAGUUGUUCAUGCAGCUGGGAACUGUGGGAAUAUAUGAUUUACCAUAUCAGAGGAACAAACUGGUUAUUACAUAGAGCAUCUGUUGAGGGGCUCUUUUAAAACCACAGCCCCAACCAGGCUUUGGGGCUGAGAGGCUGAGCAGCAUGCCGCACUGGACCACCUACCUCUAACCGCUAGCGGAGGCCCCUGGCAGCCACAGAGCCCUCUGGAGUCUGUCUGUGCAUGUAGAAUGCAGAGGAGGCCUGGGGACCUACCUCCAAAGCAGCUGCCCUCCUGAACAUUUCUGUGGAAAGCAGCCACCACCAUUUUGGAAUGUGAACCGCCAGAGACUACUCUACAGGAGAAAGAAAAACUGUUCUGGAAGUCUUAGGGGGCUUCGCCAUGCAGCCUUUGAGUAAAAGGAACACUAUGCAACCUAAGAUUUUUUCUCUUUUGAACACUCUCCUCUUGAGGGACCCCAGCAUCCAUCGUAAGGAGAAAAUAAGGCCUCCGGAUAUCUUGAGAUGCGCAGAUAUGUUAUUGGUGGGAAGAUGGUCCCUUGGAAGAGGCUUUUCUGAGAGAAGCCCAACUGCCGAAGGGUAUCUUUUUGUAGAUCAUAAGCCUGCGGUACCCCUGGCCAGGAAGACGGUGUGAUAGAAACAUAUUAUGUUUGGCUUAUUUUAUGUUUUCAUUAGUGCCAGCCCUGUGCUAAGAAUUUGAGGUACUUUACCUUUCAGAAACCCUAUAAAGUACACACCACUAGCUUCCUUUCCUAGUCCGGGAGAGUCUCACGUAGUCCUUAAGCUCACACAGCUGAAGUGAUAAAUGAUCAGGGCUAGUCUUGCAAACCUAAGAAGCAUCUCCUUGUUCUCUGCUCUGAACAUUUGUUUUGAUGAUGGAAGAAGAGAAGAUUGGGUGGGUAUGAAACGGCAAAUAUAUGUGAAAGAAAAGCCCUUUCGCAAGUACUUGGGGUCACGUUUGGGUAGACUUUCUGGUGAAUCCCAGUCUGUAAACAUCACAAAUGUUAGUUUAAUGGAAUAGAAUGUGCACUGCAUUGGCUCCUGUUGAGAUUUUAGGAGAAGAAUUGGCUUGAAGCUUAGGUUUCCUUUCCAAAUGAGGCAACUCACUUUCUUUCCCAAGCCAGGGUCCUGUCAUUCAAGACAAAAAAAA